rnacentral:rRNA from 3 species
CUUGGUGCCAGUUCCCGGCGGGACACACCCGUUCCCAUCCCGAACACGGCCGUUAAGCCGCACGGGGCCGAUGGUAGUGCGAUUGCGCGAGAGUAGGUAGGCGCCAGGA